UAUAUUCUCUAAAUAUCUCUUUGCCCUACAUCAUCAAACUUUCUUUAUUUCCUUCUCUCACCGUCUCUUUAUUUUCUCUAUCAUCAAGCUUUCUUUUUUCAAAUCUCUCUGUCUCUCUCUUUCUUUCAUCUAUCAUGAUCAUCGGACACAGCUCCUAGUAAGGAAGAGAGAAUAAAAACAACGUCAGCGCCAACAGAGGAGGCGCAAUUUUUUUUAAAAUUAAAGCUUAUGUACUUACAGAGAUGCAAAGGUUUUUGGUUCACUAAAUGCACAACAGCUACGUAAGGACGAAGAUUUUAUUUUACACGGGAAGAGAGGAUUGUUUUUUUUUCUUUUUUUGGCUGUUUUUGUAAAGCUAAUGUUUUUAAUUUUCCUUUACUUUUUUGAAUUGUUAAGAACUUACUAUAUUCUCUUUUUUGUUUUUCUAUUCUUUUUCCCGUUUCUUCCCCUCCCCUCUCUCUCUCUCGCGCAAAAUCAAUUGGUGUAAGCACAGAAAAACAUAUUAGGAUUUAUCAAUUGCAUAUCAAAUCCCAGAAGUUUAGAUUUCUUCCCAUGGACCCAAUUCUCAUAAACAAUCGUUCCUGUGCAAAAAAAUUUCUGAUGUGGUGAGCAAUUUUUUUUUCCAAUUUUGUAAAUUAGUUUUGUAUAGCUGCAGAUGCAGAGAUUGUUUUAAAUAGGAGAGAGAAGUUAUUGGUUUAGAGAUAAAAGGAUUUUGGG
rnacentral:lncRNA from 1 species